GAACGCCUGGAGCAAUCCAGGAGUGGCGCACGGGUGAGUAACGCGUGGGAACCUGCCCUUGAGUGCGGGAUAACCGAGGGAAACUUCGGCUAAUACCGCAUGCGCCCCCUCACGGGGGGAAAGAUUUAUCGCUCGAGGAGGGGCCCGCGUCGGAUUAGCUAGUUGGUGGGGUAACGGCCUACCAAGGCGAUGAUCCGUAGCUGGUCUGAGAGGAUGAUCAGCCACACUGGGACUGAGACACGGCCCAGACUCCUACGGGAGGCAGCAGUAGGGAAUAUUGGACAAUGGGGGCAACCCUGAUCCAGCAAUGCCGCGUGAGUGAUGAAGGCCUUAGGGUUGUAAAGCUCUUUCGCGCGCGACGAUGAUGACGGUAUCGCGAGAAGAAGCCCCGGCUAACUUCGUGCCAGCAACCGCGGUAA
rnacentral:rRNA from 1 species